GACGUAGGGCGCGAGCGUUGUCCGGAUUUAUUGGGCGUAAAGAGCUCGUAGGCGGCUUGUCGCGUCGACUGUGAAAACCCGCGGCUCAACUGUGGGCUUGCAGUCGAUACGGGCAGGCUGGAGUUCGGUAGGGGAGACUGGAAUUCCUGGAUGUAGCGGUGAAAUGCGCAGAUAUCAGGAGGAACACCGGUGGCGAAGGCGGGUCUCUGGGCCAUAACUGACGGCUGAGAAGCGGAAGGCCAGGGAGCAAACGGG
rnacentral:rRNA from 1 species